rnacentral:lncRNA from 1 species
UAUUGAAUGGAUGUAAUGGAAUGAGAUAAUAGGAACGUGUCAAGGAGAGGUCAAGCAUAGGAGGAUAACGGGUCAAGAUAAGGCAAGGUGACAAAUACACUUAUUGGAGUACUCGAGAUGUUAAUGGCAAGAACGUGUCAAGGAGAGGUCAAGCAUAGGAGGAUAACGGGUCAAGAUAAGGCAAGGUGACAAAUACACUUAUUGGAGUACUCGAGGUAUGGGAUCGUUGGCUUCAUGAAGAAAUGGAGCUGGAUUUGGAUAAGAGUAUUUAAGAAAGCGCUUGGACAAUUCCACGACUACUUUAUAGAAUGCUCUACGAAAUUCUAUUAUAUAGUUUAAUGUUGUAUGGUAUGUUAAUGACUAAUGGUUUGGUUGUACGUGGUGUCCACAGGUAUCGCUUGGGUUUUCUCUACAUUUAUUGAAGUGAAGCGGACUUAGUUCGAGUUGAGAGCAAGGAUUGUACGGGGUAGAAUGGUCACAUAGUGUAACUCAUAUAGGUUUUGAAGUAUUAAUGUUAUAAAACGUUAUAAAUCCGUUUUAAUGAAUAUAUGGCAUUUCGCAUUUGAACCUUCAUGUGUUUGAUAUGUCUAUUAAAGAACGAAAUUUUUGGGCUC